rnacentral:misc_RNA from 1 species
UCUCCGUUGGUGAACCAGCGGAGGGAUCAUUACCGAGUUAUCAACUCCCAAACCCCUGUGAACAUACCCAACGUUGCUUCGGCGGGACCGCCCCGGCGCCCUCGGCGUCCCGGAACCAGGCGCCCGCCGGAGGACCCAAACUCUUGUUUAAACCAUAGUGGCAUAUUCUGAGUCUCACAGGAAAAAUGAAUCAAGACUUUCAACAACGGAUCUCUUGGCUCUGGCAUCGAUGAAGUACGCAGC